rnacentral:rRNA from 1 species
UACGUAGGUGACAAGCGUUGUCCGGAUUUACUGGGCGUAAAGAGCGCGCAGGCGGUUGUUCAAGUCGAGUGUGAAAGCCCCCGGCUCAACUGGGGAGGGUCAUUCGAUACUGAUCGACUCGAAGGCAGGAGAGGGAAGUGGAAUUCCCGGUGUAGUGGUGAAAUGCGUAGAUAUCGGGAGGAACACCAGUGGCGAAGGCGACUUCCUGGCCUGUUCUUGACGCUGAGGCGCGAAAGCUAGGGGAGCAAACGGG